rnacentral:rRNA from 1 species
UACGAAGGGGGCUAGCGUUGUUCGGAAUCACUGGGCGUAAAGCGCACGUAGGCGGAUCGUUAAGUCGAGGGUGAAAUCCCAGGGCUCAACCCUGGAACUGCCUUCGAUACUGGCGAUCUUCGAGUCCGGGAGAGGUGAGUGGAACUCCGAGUGUAGAGGUGAAAUUCGUAGAUAUUCGGAAGAACACCAGUGGCGAAGGCGGCUCACUGGCCCGGUACUGACGCUGAGGUGCGAAAGCGUGGGGAGCAAACAGGAUUAGAAACCCCAGUAGUCC